rnacentral:rRNA from 1 species
AGCAGCCGCGGUAAUUCCAGCUCCAAUAGCGUAUAUUAAAGUUGUUGCAGUUAAAAAGCUCGUAGUUGAAUUUCGGGAUCAAUUUAUUGGUCGUGCUAUUGUACGUACUGGUAUUAUUGAUUCCUACCUUCUGACGAACCACGAUGUCAUUAAUUUGGUGUCAUGGGGAAUCAGGACUGUUACUUUGAAAAAAUUAGAGUGUUUAAAGCAAGCUAACGCUUGAAUACAUUAGCAUGGAAUAAUGGAAUAGGACGUUCGAUCCUAUUUUGUUGGUUUCUAGGAUUGACGUAAUGAUUAAUAGGGAUAGUUGGGGGCAUUAGUAUUCAAUUGUCAGAGGUGAAAUUCUUGGAUUUAUUGAAGACUAACUACUGCGAAAGCAUUUGCCAAGGAUGUUUUCAUUAAUUAAGAACGAAAGUUAGGGGAUCGAAGGACGAUCAGAUACCGUCGUAGUCUUAAACCAUAAACUAUGCCGACUAGGGAUCGGAUGAUGUUAAUUUUUAAUGACUCAUUCGGCGCCUUA